rnacentral:rRNA from 1 species
GCAUGUCCUUCUGGGAAGAUUCAUCGGUAUGGGAUGGGGUCGCGUCCUAUCAGCUUGAUGGCGGGGUAACGGCCCACCAUGGCUUCGACGGGUAGCCGGCCUGAGAGGGCGACCGGCCACAUUGGGACUGAGAUACGGCCCAGACUCCUACGGGAGGCAGCAGUGGGGAAUAUUGCACAAUGGGCGCAAGCCUGAUGCAGCGACGCCGCGUGCGGGAUGACGGCCUUCGGGUUGUAAACCGCUUUUGACUGGGAGCAAGCCCUUCGGGGUGAGUGUACCUUUCGAAUAAGCACCGGCUAACUACGUGCCAGCAGCCGCGGUAAUACGUAGGGUGCAAGCGUUAUCCGGAAUUAUUGGGCGUAAAGGGCUCGUAGGCGGUUCGUCGCGUCCGGUGUGAAAGUCCAUCGCUUAACGGUGGAUCCGCGCCGGGUACGGGCGGGCUUGAGUGCGGUAGGGGAGACUGGAAUUCCCGGUGUAACGGUGGAAUGUGUAGAUAUCGGGAA